rnacentral:rRNA from 1 species
UACGUAGGGGGCAAGCGUUGUCCGGAAUUAUUGGGCGUAAAGAGCGCGUAGGCGGUCCGAUAAGUCGGCUGUGAAAGUCAGGGGCUCAACCCUUGGAAGCCGGCCGAUACUGUCGGGCUAGAGUCCGGAAGAGGCGAGUGGAAUUCCCGGUGUAGCGGUGAAAUGCGCAGAUAUCGGGAGGAACACCAGUGGCGAAGGCGGCUCGCUGGGACGGUACUGACGCUGAGGCGCGAAAGCCAGGGGAGCGAACGGG